rnacentral:rRNA from 1 species
ACUCCUACGGGAGGCAGCAGUGGGGAAUAUUGCACAAUGGGCGCAAGCCUGAUGCAGCCAUGCCGCGUGUAUGAAGAAGGCCUUCGGGUUGUAAAGUACUUUCAGCAGUGAGGAAGGCGGGUACGUUAAUAGCGUGCUCGUUUGACGUUAGCUGCAGAAGAAGCACCGGCUAACUCCGUGCCAGCAGCCGCGGUAAUACGGAGGGUGCGAGCGUUAAUCGGAAUUACUGGGGCGUAAAGCGCAUGCAGGUGGUUUGUUAAGUCAGAUGUGAAAGCCCGGGGGCUCAACCUCGGAAUUGCAUUUGAAACUGGCAGACUAGAGUACUGUAGAGGGGGUAGAAUUUCAGGUGUAGCGGUGAAAUGCGUAGAGAUCUGAAGGAAUACCGGUGGCGAAGGCGGCCCCCUGGACAGAUACUGACACUCAGAUGCGAAAGCGUGGGGAGCAAACAGGAUUAGAU